UGACAUAUGUCCUAAAAUGAAAUUGGCAGGUGCUAGAAAUUAGCAGGUGUUAUCUUAAAUUCAUCUCAUGAAUUAAGACAAGCAUUUUCUGAGCUAGACAAGCUUCAUUUAGACUGAGAAAAAUCUUCUCAAGGUUCUCUGGAUGAGUCAAAUCACAUUUGGCUCAGUAAAGACAGAAAAGAUUAUACGAGGAGAAAGUUAGGCUCAAUCGUGUGCUAGCACGAUUUUCUUGAACCUAAUUGAAUCUUAUCCAAAUCAAUUGGGUUAGCCCAAUUAAUGACAUCGAGAUCCUAACCCUUGUUUGUGUGACCCAGUUAGGUUUAAUUCUGUAUGGUAAUGAGACAUGUCAUGAUCUCAUCAUCGACAUCAUCAAAACUCCUUUCGAUGGACCAGAACUUCUGAUUUAGACAAUUAGAAUGAUCGAUCAUCAAUAUCAUUCUAAUUGCUCUCAAAAUCCACCAGUGACACCUAGCAGUAUGUGGUGGCAAUCCAUC
rnacentral:lncRNA from 1 species